rnacentral:lncRNA from 1 species
CCCACAGUGACUGCCAGCCACCAAUUACACUUUGGGUGCCAAAGUGAAACAGCUGAGGGCUCUCCACAGAUAAAGAAAGGAGCAUCCUACUUGGCAAAAGCACCUUCUUGAGCCACAGCUGGAGUCCAUAGCCCAGGAAUCAUACUCCAUGAAUGUCCUUGCAUUUCCAGUUACAAACUGCCCUUUAUGGAGAAAGAAUUUAAUGAAAAAUGAGUACUGCAGAGUGCACUCUUCAAAUUGACAGAAAAAAAUAUUCUUAGCAAAAUUUAGGCUAUAAUUAUAAGAAAAGAUAUUGGUAGUGAGUAUGAGUAUGGGUAAAAUGUGUUUUCCUUUGCUCUCUUUGUAAACCCUAACUGAGUGAUAAUGUAUUUAUCCUGAGCACAUAAUCACUGUAUAUUCCAGGGAAAGGGUUUGGAAAUUUCACUAAAACAUUGCAUUGGAUAUUCUGUCAUUGCUGCAUUUUAAAAGCAGCAAAAGCCCUUUGAGAAAAUUCAUGCCCUUUUUUAGUCAAUGACAAACAAAUAUGUAGUCCAGAGAAAAAUCCAUUCUCUUUCUUUUUUGCAGUCAGUGUGACUUUUCAUGGGAACAUGUAUUUUGAGUAUGUUCACAGCCUUGCUACCACCACAGAUAAAAGAAGUUUCAACUGCUCCAACCAAAACAUUGUGGAGACAACUUUACAUGGAUUUUGAACUAUCACAGCAAAAUUCAAACAGAAGUUGAAAGCAUAAUAUAUUUUUUGUUCAUAUAUGAAUACUUUGCUGCGAAAACAAGUCAUACCCGUGUCUCAGCCCACAGUAACUGCCUGCAAUUCAAAACAAUGAUUCAGCACAGGGUAUGUGAUGUUGUGAACAGUUUAACGAUUUUUUUUUUUCCUCAAAACUUUUGGCACUUCAGCCUCAGACGCUAUUUGUACAGAGCAAAAGUUCAGGCAAGCUUUUCAAACUAAAAAAAAAACAAACGGAGAGUUUUCCGUUCAUGCUUAAAUGCUUGGAGAGCAUUUUAAAGGCUAUCAAUUAAAAGGCUUUACAUUUCAAGCCCAUUUGGAUUUCUCUGAUGAUGUUUUCCAGAAGAUCUGUGUGUUCAAAUGCAAUGUGAGAGGGAAGCUCCAACACUGCUUUCUGUUUCUUUCUCGGACGAGUGUGCCCUGUUCCUGCACCUUCCCUCUCACCCUCUUGGGCCGGCUCUCAUCUCUGCACAGACCUUUAUUGCAAAGGAUCUCCCCAUCCAUAUCCCCCUGGGUGACAGGAUGGUUGCCACAGACUGGGUCUGGGUUACAGCCUGCUUGUAGCCAGAUGGUCUGUAAGGCUCUGACCCCAGCUGUAGGAUGCCAUGACUCACACCUGCCCUUGGGAGUGCUGCGGGGAGUUUCCUCUCAUCGCCUUCCUGGAAAACCAGCAGGAGCGAGUGUGGUGCCAGACGCUCCCGAGCUGCCAGAGGCUGAAAGACAAUUUCCAUUCAACUCAUAUCCCAUAUGAGGAAUCUGCAUUUGUUUCCUGUGAGCAAGUAUGGAUUUUCCACUUCUAUCUACUCAGACCCUGAUCAUAACAGCACCAUGUCAGCAGCUUUGCAAGAGAUCGCAUGUGUUUUCCAAGGUCUGGUGGUGGAAAAUCUGGAAAGCAAUAUUUCACGUCUCUCAGAAGGCUGUUUAUUCUCAAAAAUGCUCAGUUAUUUAGCCUUUUAGCAAUUACCCAUCCCUAAUUUGAAGACCAUUCGUCCAGGAGCUAAGGCAUUGAGCUGUAAUGAAUCAUUUGUUUCUUUUAUGGGGAUUAAGUGCAUUGCUAAACAAAGACUAAGUUGCAUAAUUUUUUUUUUCCUUUUUGGUGAAUAGAAAAGUGACAAAGGAAUGAGAAAUAUAUAUAUCUAUAUCAAUAUACCUAUAUCUCAGGUUUUUGGGGUUUGGAAUUCCUUUUUUAGAGGCUCCAUUUUUGGCACUGCCAGUAGAGUACUACCAGCAGAGCCCGCUAUGGGACCACUCAAAUUUGAAAGAGAAAGGUGGACAUUCACAACAAGGUUUCUGAUGUUUCACUGUUUUCAUAAAUCACUGGAAUUAAGUUUCACAAAGAGCCACCACCCAUCAGUCUCAAGCACCUACUUAUCCAUGGAAGAGGAGACACCGAGUGUCACCCAGCGGAUGUUGCCCUCAGCAGAUCAACAGUAAUCUCAGAGGUAGCACCACAUCCACCUAAGCUCAUCCUUCCUGAUUUUUUUGCAAUGAUAUGCCUAAGUAUAGAGUUAAUUAAACUUCCCAGCUGGUCUGGGAGACGAGGCGUCAGAUGGGCGUAAUGUAUUCAGCAGCGAAGGGACAAGGAGUAUUUAGGUUGAUUGUUAAGCAACAACACUACGUGCUGUGGGCAAGAAGGACACAAUGCCAGCUCUGGAAAUUUCACAACUGUAGAGCUUUUUUCCUCAAGACUUUGUAAUUGAGGCUUGCGGGGUUAAUAAACAACAACCACCACCAAUAGUAACA